GUGCUUGCUUCGGAAGCACAUAUACUAAAGUUGGAAGGAUGCAGAGAAGGUUAGCAUGGCCCCCGUGCAAGGAUGAUACGUUUACAUUCACUUUUUCAAAUUAGUU
ensembl:snRNA U6 U6 spliceosomal RNA